CAACGCUGGCGGCGUGCCUAACACAUGCAAGUCGAACGUGAAAGGGCUUCGGCCUGAGUAAAGUGGCAAACGGGUGAGUAACGCGUGGGUGAUCUGCCUCUGAGUGGGGGAUAACCUUCCGAAAGGAGGGCUAAUACCGCAUGACAUCCUGUUCUUGGAUGAACGGUGAUCGAAGCCGGGGACCGCAAGGCCUGGCGCUUGGAGAGGAGCCCGCGUCCGAUUAGCUAGUUGGUGGGGUAAUGGCCUACCAAGGCGACGAUCGGUAGCCGGCCUGAGAGGGCGGACGGCCACACUGGGACUGAGACACGGCCCAGACUCCUACGGGAGGCAGCAGUGGGGAAUUGUUCGCAAUGGGCGCAAGCCUGACGACGCAACGCCGCGUGGGGGAUGAAGGUCUUCGGAUUGUAAACCCCUGUUGGGUGGGACGAAUGCCUUUCCGGCCAAUACCCGGGAAGAUUGACGGUACCACCUGAGGAAGCCCCGGCUAACUCUGUGCCAGCAGCCGCGGUAAUACAGAGGGGGCAAGCGUUGUUCGGAAUUACUGGGCGUAAAGGGCGCGUAGGCGGCCUGUUAAGUCGGACGUGAAAUCCCUCGGCUCAACCGAGGAACUGCGUCUGAUACUGGCGGGCUUGAAUUCGGGAGAGGGAUGUGGAAUUCCAGGUGUAGCGGUGAAAUGCGUAGAUAUCUGGAGGAACACCGGUGGCGAAGGCGGCAUCCUGGACCGACAUUGACGCUGAGGCGCGAAAGCCAGGGGAGCAAACGGGAUUAGAUACCCCGGUAGUCCUGGCCCUAAAC
rnacentral:rRNA from 1 species